UUGAACGCUGGCGGCAUGCCUUACACAUGCAAGUCGAACGGUAACGGGUUAAGCCGACGAGUGGCGAACGGGUGAGUAAUAUAUCGGAACGUGCCCAAUCGUGGGGGAUAACGCAGCGAAAGUUGUGCUAAUACCGCAUAAGAUCUACGGAUGAAAGCGGGGGAUCGCAAGACCUCGCGCGAGUGGAGCGGCCGAUAUCAGAUUAGCUAGUUGGUGGGGUAAAGGCUCACCAUGGCGACGAUCAGUAGCUGGUCUGAGAGGAUGAUCAGCCACACUGGAACUGAGACACGGUCCAGACUCCUACGGGAGGCAGCAGUGGGGAAUUUUGGACAAUGGGGGAAACCCUGAUCCAGCCAUUCCGCGUGAGUGAAGAAGGCCUUCGGGUUGUAAAGCUCUUUCGGCAGGAACGAAACGGCGGAAUCUAAUACAUUCCACUAAUGACGGUACCUGAAGAAGAAGCACCGGCUAACUACGU
rnacentral:rRNA from 1 species